UUUUUUUGAUCCAACAGUAGCUAGAUAAGCGCCUAGGGAAGUAGGGGUUAAGACGAGACGGAUCCCAAUGCUCUCUCUGAGGAGGCGGUGACACCCUAGGGAGGCGUCGGCUAACAACACCGGUACCGCGGGGAGGGUAGAGGAGCUGCACGAUGUGAUGGCCUUGCGAUACUCGACGAGGCCCUGGAACAGAAGCGAGGGUUCCGCUCGUGAACGCGGUGAAGGCGGCCGAAACGAGGGGCAACCUUCCAGUGCGGCCACUACCACCACCAAGUGGCCGGUCUAAAGCAGCCUCUCCUCCUCCAACUGGCCGGUCUAGGACUAGGAGGAACGUGGUGGCAGCACGGCAACGGGGUUACGAGGAGAGCUACGCGGAGGUGGCGUAGGGUCAUUAAAGAUUUAGGUUAGAAGCAGAGCGACAGAGUAGAGUGUCGUACGGCGGAGGGGAAAAGUUCUACCCCUCGGGCUCGCUGGAGCUCGUUGACAGCGGCAGCGGCAGUGCAUACCGAGCCGCUCGAGCAUGUCGCACACGGGGCGGGAGGGAGGAGGCACACGGGGACAGAUGAGGAUACGGGGAUAAUCGGUGCUUCCACUACGAACAAAUGUUCGUUGUAUGAGAGCAGAUACCUAAGAGUUAGAGUCCCUUACGAGUGGAAUCUGAGAAAUGCCACCCAUCGAACUACAACAACUCCAUGGUUUCAGACUUACGAGAGCUUAUAACAACUAGCUCAGUUACCUACAAAGGACCAACGAGAAUACCACUCAUAGUCCACCAAGAGAAGCUGCCACUACAGCGGUUGUGUCGUCUACGUCGAACGCCUAGGGUGCCGUACUGAGUCUACGACUGCUACUUGGCCUGAUGGACAACAUUAAACUUGUGGAUUUUUUCCAAGAACCUGGGCGACGUUGCGCACAAGAUGUUGUUGUUAUGGCCCGCGCUCCGUGACCACUUCUUCACGCGUCUACUCGUGUACGUCGUCACGUUCCACGAGGCGCCACCGGGGGCACAGCAGCUCAUGUAGGUAUAUGUUGAAGAGGAAGAUGUCUCAAGAGGAAACGAAAGAACGUGUACACGAGACGGCCUGAUUGCGUGUAUGUGAUUCAUCGAGAAAAGAAGUAAACCCCAAAGGAAGCGUCCCACUAAGGGUCCCGAGAGUUGGACAGCUCCAUGCGUUAGAACUACGAAAUCUAAAGAUAGAUACAUUAGAUGUAGAAUCGUAACACAUGCACAUCAUAGAUUCUCAUUCUUUAUAUAACAGGCCAAGUCAGUACACCACACAUAACCACAAACCUUAAGUCAGUACAUGAGUAAGUAUGACUUUGAUUUCAGACUUUCCGACCACCUCCUGCAACACCUCUCACAGCGACUUCCACCCAGACAGGCCGACAGUGAUGACGACCUCGAUGUCGCGGCCAUGUGCUUCUAGUUGCCCUUCCACCGGUAGCGGCUCUGGGCUAACUCGGAGUACGUCCUCCUGUACAUGUAUGAUUGUAUUUGUUCUACUAUCUCUUCAAGAGACGAGAAGUCGAGUUUCACUUCCUCCACUUACGUAACAAGUGGUACUUCGUCUUAGUCAGGAGGUUUUCCGGACGAUCCUGUCGUUCCCGUUCACGUGCUACCACGGGACUUCGUAGUGCCACUUGUACCAUCACAGUCCAACAACUACCUCGCUAAGUUUAACUCUAAGGCGGGUAAACUAUGGAAUCCAAACUUCCAGCUCAUGGUGCGGCGGCGGUAACGUUGGCGAGAUCCUAUGGUAAUUACCCUAUAGUGAAUUUGCGGGAGCAACGACCUAGUUUCGCAACGUCCGUCAGAAGCUCACCGCCCUACUCCUGUGCAGAUCUUACCACUACCGCGGUACCUCACGUUGUUCAUAAGGGUUCCGUUGUAAAUAUACGUCGUAUCGGUCCUACAGACCCCAUCGUAACCUUUGUCGGUGUAUUUCCCGGAUUUGUUAGUUCAUCCAUACGAAAAUUUCACCGUCACCUGAUUUCUACUCGUGUCCCAACAUAUGUGGUACGAAUCUUUCCUACAGAGCCUCUCACAACUUACUACCUCACUGUUUCUCCACAGCCGAAAUCGAGCACAAGGAUAAAUCUGAUACGUUGGGUAGAUCCUUUCUUCCGUUCUUCCACCACAGCAAGUUCUGUAGUUCUCGUUCUUUGGUUUCUAAAUACCUGCCUUCUCCUAGUGUAAAUUAAGAUUACUAUCUUGGCUUCUAGAGAAUGUGUUAUCUAAAACACGGUCUGUUUGAUGGCAGCUUUUGGUUUCAUACUAGAACUAUCGAACUUUGUUCAUCUGAUGAUAGUGUACUGGAACUAAACACAAUAUUGUUGCACAUAAACAUUCACAUUUUGUAUAGGUAUAAUAAAUAGAGGGCAUCAUUCACAACACGUAUAGUAGAAAUUUAACGG
rnacentral:rRNA from 1 species